GACAAUGUGCCAGAGUGGUUAAUGGGUUAGACUUGAAUCUUCUGAUUUAGUCAUCUAAUGGCUUCGGCCUCGCAAGUUCGAAUCUUGUCAUUGUCG